GGGGAAUCUUGCGCAAUGGGCGAAAGCCUGACGCAGCAACGCCGCGUGUGUGAAGAAGGCCUUUGGGUCGUAAAGCACUGUCGGAAGGGAAGAAAAAAAUGACGGUACCUUCCAAGGAAGCACCGGCUAACUCCGUGCCAGCAGCCGCGGUAAUACGGAGGGUGCAAGCGUUGUUCGGAAUCAUUGGGCGUAAAGCGCGCGCAGGCUGUCGAUCAAGUCUGAUGUGAAAUCCCGGGGCUCAACCCCGGGCGUGCAUUGGAAACUGAUUGACUGGAGUUUGGGAGAGGCUAGUGGAAUUCCAGGUGUAGGGGUGAAAUCCGUAGAGAUCUGGAGGAACACCGGUGGCGAAGGCGACUGGCUGGACCAAGACUGACGCUGAGGCGCGAAAGCGUGGGGAGCAAAC
rnacentral:rRNA from 1 species